CCUACGGGAGACAACAGUGAGGAAUAUUGGUCAAUGGACGAGAGUCUGAACCAGCCAAGUAGCGUGAAGGAUGACUGCCCUAUGGGUUGUAAACUUCUUUUAUAUGGGAAUAAAAUGUUCCACGUGUGGGAUUUUGUAUGUACCAUAUGAAUAAGGAUCGGCUAACUCCGUGCCAGCAGCCGCGGUAAUACGGAGGAUCCGAGCGUUAUCCGGAUUUAUUGGGUUUAAAGGGAGCGUAGGUGGAUUGUUAAGUCAGUUGUGAAAGUUUGCGGCUCAACCGUAAAAUUGCAGUUGAAACUGGCAGUCUUGAGUACAGUAGAGGUGGGCGGAAUUCGUGGUGUAGCGGUGAAAUGCUUAGAUAUCACGAAGAACUCCGAUUGCGAAGGCAGUUCACUGGACUGCAACUGACACUGAGGCUCGAAAGUGUGGGUAUCAAACAGGAUUAGAUACCCCAGUAGUC
rnacentral:rRNA from 1 species